rnacentral:rRNA from 1 species
UACGGGGGGGGGCAAGCGUUGCUCGGAAUCACUGGGCGUAAAGCGCACGUAGGCGGUUUGCUAAGUCAGGGGUGAAAUCCUGGAGCUCAACUCCAGAACUGCCUUUGAUACUGGCGGACUUGAGUCCGGGAGAGGUGAGUGGAACUGCGAGUGUAGAGGUGAAAUUCGUAGAUAUUCGCAAGAACACCAGUGGCGAAGGCGGCUCACUGGCCCGGUACUGACGCUGAGUGAGCGAAAGCCAGGGGAGCAAAGCGGG